rnacentral:tRNA from 2 species
GCCAAUGUAGCUCAGUUGGUAGAGCUGCUGAUUUGUAAUCAGCAGGUCGGCGGUUCGAGUCCGUCCAUUGGCUCCA